rnacentral:lncRNA from 1 species
GGUGGGCCUGCGCUGGAAGCUGGCGGACCGAGGGGAGAGCUGAGGGGGCCGCGGCUGGCUGCCUGGCAGUGACGCCGUCCUAAGCCCCUGCCCGCGGGGCGCUGCGCCCUCCACCUGCGGCGUCGGCGGAGCCCCACCCCCCCCACCCCCCACCGCGGCGGCGUCUGCAGGGGCGCCCCAGCAUCUCCCCCGCAGCCGCGGCAUCCCCUCGAGGAAGCACUUUGCUCUCAUCCGUGAGGGUCAAUGGGCCCCUGAACGGGCGAUCCGAGCCCACACCCCUCUGGCCGCACUGAUGGACGGGCUCAGGGGUGGGCGUGUACCCAAGCUGGGCCGCGGAGCCCUCUGGAGUUUCUGCUGGGCAGGCCGAGGGCCCGCCUGGAGCCGCUGCUGGCAGCCCUCUCGGUCACCGGGGCGGAGACAGCUGAAGGUAAAACUGGGAGGCAGGAGAGCGGAGCUGAGCAGAGAUCCCUCCUGCCAUUGAGUCUCUGGAUCCCGUCGCAGCUGAAGCCGGAGGCCCUUCUGAUCUCCCAACUGCGUCAGCCGAUUCCCAGCCAGUUCGGCACCUCUGUCAAUGGUGUUAAGAAGAUGCCCGGAGCAGCCUGCAGCCAGCGCAAGCCUGCUCCAUCCCAGGCCUCAGUCCUGUCCUCCUCUGUCCUUCCGAUACUGCAGCCGCAUGUCUCUGAACAGGAGCCACGUGCCUCCCUCACGUGGGGCUCAGGCGCUCUCAGUGCUCUCCGGUUAAGGUCCCGACGCCUCCGCGCCUCCACAC